rnacentral:piRNA from 1 species
GUCAAUUGUGUGCCCAUGCAU